rnacentral:rRNA from 1 species
GACGAACGCUGGCGGCGUGCCUAAUACAUGCAAGUAGAACGCUGAAGGAGGAGCUUGCUUCUCUGGAUGAGUUGCGAACGGGUGAGUAACGCGUAGGUAACCUGCCUGGUAGUGGGGGAUAACUAUUGGAAACGAUAGCUAAUACCGCAUAAUAGCAGUUGUUGCAUGAUAACUGUUUGAAAGGUGCAAUUGCACCGCUACCAGAUGGACCUGCGUUGUAUUAGCUAGUUGGUGGGGUAACGGCUCACCAAGGCGACGAUACAUAGCCGACCUGAGAGGGGGAGCCGCACCAUGGGGCCGGACCAACGCCCAAGCCCCUGAGGGGGGGCAGAGGAGGGAAUUCUCCGGAAGGGGCGGGAAUCUGACCGGACAACCGCGGGGGGAGUAAAGAGGUUUUGCGAAUGGAAAACUCUGUUGUUAGAAAAAAACGGGGUGGAGGGGGGAAAUUUCCCACCGGGGGCGGUAUUUUACAAAAAGGGGCGGCUAACUUCCU